AAUAUUAGGAAAUGUCAGAUGGAAUUGGAGGGUGGAAUUAACAAUUAGAAGUAAUUCUACAAAGUUGUUAUUAUUUGCAUCCUUCAUCAUGUUGUAUAAUAUUUUAUCAUUUUCAUACCAUCCUUGUUUAAUAUUUUUCUAUCGUUGAUAAACUCAACCUUUCAUCCAUGAUUUCUAGCAUCUUCGCAUUCCAUCCAUUAAUAACAUAAC
rnacentral:lncRNA from 1 species